rnacentral:piRNA from 1 species
UAGAUGAUACAAAGGAAUCUAUUAUAUCAU